UAAGUAAAUUGAAUUCACAACUUAUGAAACGCAAUUAGAAGUAAUCAAAUCAUAUAGCAAGCAUAAACAUGGCUUCGAAUUCCCCCCUAGCCAAGGGGGGUUUAGUUCCUCAUACUCACAAAACAAAGAGUAUUGAAUUUAAACAUUGAAAACAAGGGAAAGAAAACACCUAAAACGUUCCAGCAAUCCUAACUUGAAUGACAUGCACGUCCAAGGCUUCUCCUUCUUCUUCUUUGCUGCGGCACAAGGUUUUGGGGACAGGUUUGGAUGGUAUUUGUAUGGAGGAAUGGAUGGGAGAUGGUAUGGUGGUGUUUAGGAUGGAUGAGAGGUGUGGCAAAAGAGAGAAAGAUGGCUGAAAAUGUGUUUGUGAUGUAGUGUAUGAAUGUGUAGAUGGGUUUGGCUAAAAGAAUGGAUGGAGAAUGGGUGGUGUGGCUGAUUGUGUUUUUGAUGUAGUGUCAUCUCUAGUGUUCUUCCCUUCACUCCCUAUUUAUAGAAGCUCUAAAGCAAAGAAUCACUCAAGUGGCUUCAAUAAACAAUACAAACAAAGACCAAAAUGAUGCAAAAAUAGCUAGUUUACAUGCUCUUUUAUCAUUGUGUCUUGCCUUUAACAAAAGGCAAUCCUUCGUCUUUUGCUAAUUCAACUCCUUUGUAGCUGUCCAUGUGCCUUUAUUCUUCAAUUUCUGAUGCAUUUGCCUUGUAUUCCAUCCCUUUUCCACAUGUACUAGCUGUUAGACAACUUUCACACACAUGUUUUGCAUCAUUUCAUCUUGCAAACAUCAACUUUCGGCCACUUUACACCUCUACACACAUGCUAUGCAUCAUUUCAGCUUGCAAUUAUGUUUGUAGUUGCUGAAAAUGUGAAUACAUCUUGUAAAGCAAUCCAACAAAUGGCAUCUUUCACUUCUUUUCCUUUCAAAUUGUUCCUUAAGUGUAUGUAUCUGCACACUUGCACACUUCAACUUCAUUAUUCAGAUUUUUGCAUGUGUUGAAACCCUUUUUAAAACACCAAAAACGUCCAUCCCACUUGGUCCAUAUGCAUGCAAUCCAUUUUGGCCCAAAAUUGCUCCAAAUUGCACCAAAAUGCACUUUCUUUCCAACUUAGUUAUUAGGACCUACAAACACACGAAAAUAGCUUAAAACACUCUUAUAAGCAAUAACUAACUAAGUAAAUGCAAGAAAACAUGUUAACUAAGUCGCAUAAAUAUGCUCCUAUCAACGUUUCAAAUAAUGUGUAUGUUUACAUUGAAAUACUGUAUAUGCAAAUUGGCAUGAAUCAGGGGUCGUACUAUUUCAGUGUUUGUUGGGUAUGAAAGUGGAAUCAUAAACCGAAUAGCAGGGGUUUUCGCCAGGAGAGGUUACAAUAUCGAGUCUCUUGCUGUUGGUUUGAAUAAGGACAAGGCUCUCUUUACCAUAGUUGUGUUUGGGACUGAAAAGGUGUUGAGGCAGGUUGUUGAAUAGCUCAACAAGUUGGUGAAUGUGAUAAAGGUUAGUGGACGUCUUUAGUAUUUCGUGUAAAACCUUUUGGUAGUUUCUGCAUUAUCUUCACUUAUAAUUCUGCUUUAUCAGGUCAAGGACAUCUCAAGGGAGCCACAAAUAGAACGUGAACUGAUGCUUAUCAAACUUAAUGCAGAUCCAAGUACCCGUGCAGAGGUAAAUUUUUCGAUCAUCCAGCCAAUAAUUGGAUAAUCGUUCUAAUAUGUUUAAAUGAUCCACCCCUAAGAAUAAUCAUCAGUAAUAUGUGGUUUUAAUUCAUCUGUAUAAUUCUCUACAGAUAAUUUUAAAAUGUAAUUUUCGCCAGUUAUACAUCAUGUUGCGUAUAUCUGUGUUUUCGGCCCUCUAUUGCGUGUUUACUAGGCUGUUGUUGUGCUCUGCAUUGUUUAUGUACUGUAGGCUUUGCUGGUGUGAUUACCGUGUAUUUAUAUUUGUCAUUCUUAAUUUGGUUAGAUGGUAGACAAUGGCACAACAUGUUUAAUAUUUACUUUGAAUGCCAAAUGCAAACCUAACAGCCUUUAUCAUCCCAAAUGUACGAAUAUUUAAGUCUGUUUAUAUAUGCCUCCAAAUAUAUAUAUAUAUAUUUUUUCAAUUCAGGAUUUCAACAUAUCAAGUAUGGAGGGAAUUGAUAGAAGCAAUAUGUCAGAGGUUUUUACCUUAUCUGCAUUAUUCCUCUUCUGUAUAGAUGAUUUAUUUUUUCUUCUUUUCAAAAAUAAAAUUCAUUUUCUUUGGCAAUUUCUCAAUGUAGGUCAGCAAUGAAGAAGUUCACUUCAGACAAACAAAUGUUCACAAUUCUCGAUAGCUAGACCAAAGGUAUUAGGAGCAAUCAAUAAAGGCAAAGAUGACAAUCUAUGAAUUCAUCACAACGGGCUUGAAUUUCAAUGCGACGACGUGCCAAUUAUCAAACCCGAUUGAACUCAGUAAAUAUAGUACAAAAUCAAACAGAAGUAAACCAAGAAGACAUAGGACCAACAUCAGUGGGUAAUAUGAUUUCUACUUUUUUUGUCUUUAAUAAUUAAGACACAUCUAUUAAGAUUGAACGAAUAGUGAUUUUAGGUUGGAGUUUGUACAUUUCUAUGUUGAAUGUAAUAUGCGUUUGUUGAUAUCUUUUACAAUGACUUUUAAAUCUUUUCAUUGUAACGGUUAAUUGAGAAUUACUGUGAAUUCUGGAAAUGUGAUAGGAUAGGAAUCGAGCAACUUCACUUAGGUCUGAAUUGUGGGAUACGGGUUGGGAUGAAUUGGUGGCAUUUGUACACAACAGUUCUACAUAAAAUCAAGUAACAUAUUGAAUUAAAUGAUCGUACAAAUUAUAAAACUUCGGGAAAAGGAAAGCAUGCGAAAUAUCUAAAGAACAAACCUUGAGGAAAGCGAACAUAUAUUAAAGUCCUUAGCGCCACCAAGUUCAAGGUUUAAUGCAGCUCAGAUAGCAACAACCAUUGACAGCCUAAUAUGUACAUCUGGAAGGAAGGAAAGGUAAAACAGAAUCAUAUUAUUAGGUACAUAUUGAUGCGAAUAAUAUAAGCACACUCAAAUUAAACCCUCUUUUUGACAAUUGUAGCAAAGUAUGUAAGUAGGGAUCGUUCUAAACCGGGGAUUAGGAGGGCUUGCUAAAACCUCUAAACUGACUCAAAAACAAAAAGAAACAAAGUUAUAAAUGUAAACAAAAGAUUUUAAAACAAGAAAGUAAAACGGGGAUUUGAGUUUGGUGAAGUUGAAAGUAAAAACGAAUAAACUAAAAACUUAAAUAGAUUUUUAAACAAAUUUGGGUUGAAUGGAUAAUGGAAGGCUAGCUAAGGGGUUCUUCUCCACACAUGUCUUGUUUGCAUACAAAAUGAUUUCCAAUUGCUCUUCGAUAAGUUAUGAAUACUCAACGCCCCAAAUUAACCGUGAAUUGCACUAAUUAACUCUCAGUUUUUCAACAAGUUAUUAGAUUGGAUGAUUGCAUACGACAACCCAAAACAUUCCCUACAAGUUCCCUACAUGAAUUGCAUAAUAGAGAUACAAGCAAGAAUCAUUAAGUUCUAUGAAAAACAUAAGCAUUGACGAGGCACUCGUUACUAUGAUUUGCAUGAAACUUAUGCCAAGAAUUUACUUAACGUGAUUGUGACUAGCAACCUUCACUACUUGUGAAUAUAAGUUCAUAACGAUUAGGUGAAACUCCCUUAUAUUCUAGCGUCAAAUUCAUGCAUGAAAAUUAAGCGUGCACUCUCAACCAACAUACACAAAUUAGUUUUUAUACGAACGGAUAAGUAAAUUGAAUUCACAAUUCAAGAAACGCAAUUGGAAGUAAUCAAAUCAUAUAGCAAGCAUAAACAUGGUUUUGAAUCCCCCCCUAGCCAAGGAGGGUUUAGUUCCUCAUUAUUACAAAACAAAGAUAAACAAAUUUAACCAUUGAAAAACAAAGGGAAGAAAGCACCUAAACGUUCCAACGAUCCAUGUUGGAUAGCAAGCGCGUCCAAGGACUUUUCUCCUUCUCCUUGCCGCCACAACAAGGUUGGAAUGAUGUUGAAGGGUUGGUUAUUUGGAGGAAUGGAUGGGAAGGGGUUUAGAUAUGUAGGAGAGGCAAGGAAAGGCUUGGAGAAUG
rnacentral:lncRNA from 1 species